rnacentral:lncRNA from 1 species
AAAAGUACCUAUCUAGGGAGGAGCCAAGAUGGCCGCAUAGGAACAGCUCCAGUCCACAGCUCCCAGCGUGAGCGACGCAGAAGACGGGUGAUUUCUGCAUUUCCAUCUGAGGUACCGGGUUCUUCUCACUAGGGAGUUCCAGACAGUGGGCGCAGGCAGGCUUUUCUUCUUGGAGCUGAAACAGGCGCACUGGCGAGGGUUGUGAGGAAAGGUUUGCAGCCCCCUGCCUUGGUCUGCUAUAGCCAGUGACACGAUCAAUACCAGGGUGAGCAGCAGAGGAAGCUCAGGGAAGAUUAUGAAGAUGAGGAAUUCAUUACCUAUCAAAGAAAAUGCGUAAACUCUAGAAGUAUUGCUUGCUCCUUUGCCACAAAGUGUACAUUCAAGAGUAAAUUGUUUAAAGCCAAAGGGGCCUUGCGCCACGUCCUUAGCCUCAGCUUUCUACUUGCUAAAAUGGAAAUAACAACAGUACCUACCUUACAGACCUGGCGUGAGGAUUAAAUUAUACCAGCAAAGUGCCUGGCACCUAGGAAUUUGCCUGAGUUCUGAUCAAUGCUAAAAACACCAUUUAACAGGUGCCCUUUCCUGCCUGGGAAGCCCACAAAGAUUUCGCUUUUCACUUAUUACUCAUCAAACUGACUCUGGUUCACAGUGGAAAAGAGAAGAAAAGCUGAUGGAGAAAUGGCAGUGAAGAAGGAGAACAAAAUGUCAGAGCAAUACUUUUGAGCGACUAUAUCCUCUGUUCUGCAAUAUUUGCAAAAGUCAGUCUAUAGACGUGAAGCCAACAGGGACCCUCAGGCCUGUGCAUCAGGAUGGUGGGCUGCCUAAGUCCUCUGGGGACAGCAGUGCCAGAAGGAGUAUUGGACACAGUGACCCGACUGUAUGAGAUGAGAAAAAACAAAAACAGGAGGUCCGCAGUACUGAUGAACUAAUCUGUCACUCACAAGCUCAGGUCUGCAAAAAAAAGAAACGAAGCACUAAACAUGGCCAUAAGAGAUGGAAAUGCAAGUCUUCAUUUCUAAAUGAUAAUCAAACCAACGAUCAGAAACUGAUUAACUGUGUAAUUGAAUUGAAUUGAAAAUCAUCCCAUGAAUAACAAUCCAUCCUACCUUCAAGGGGUUAGGAAGCUAACUACAGGUAAUUGCUAUCAGAAAUCUGAUUUGAUUUCCAAAAAUUGUGUGAAUGAACCAAGUUUCUUCAUCUUGAUAUACUAGGCAGGGAGUUUGUUCUUCCAAGUACUAGACUGCUUAAUUGCUUGCUUGGGGGAGGAGAAAUCCUAGGGGAAAGGCAUAUAUGAGCAAUUUCUACUCUGUGAAGCCAGCGCUGUGUCCUGAGCUGGAUCAUGGCCAGAAACAGAAAAGUCUACUCUUCCCUACAGUGGAAGCAACUGUGGAUAUUUCAUCCUAGGAGUGAAUGAAAAAACCUAAAGCUCAUACUUCAUGGGAAUCUUUCAAUAUUCUGACUGAAAACUGGUUAUUUGCUCCUCCAACCCAAAGCCAUCUAGGAACAGCACUCAGAACAGGAAAAAAAAAAGACAAAAAUAAUAAUUAUUCCAAAACGUAUUUGAGCAGAAACAAACACAAACAUUUGCAUUAUUAAAUGGGCUUGUUCACACCUGCUGAGUAGAUAUAAGACGAUAUUUAAGACAAGAGCUAAAAAAUAAACCAUCCCUUUCUGGUUUUGAGUGACAGCAGAGCAAUAAAAAUUAUUUUCACAUUCUUUUCCCUAUUGUUAGAAGUAAUCAUUUGAGUAAAUACACUUAUCUGUGCUGUAACUAUUGAAAUGAAUCCACUUCAAAUAUGUAUACCACCUUUCUUUUUUAUAUUUCUAGAUAUGGUUUCAAUAUAGACUUUCUGACUUUUAUGGUAUACAUAUAGGACAAUAUUCUAUUCUUCUUUCCUUUUAAAUACUUACUGUUUCAAUUUCAAAUAAAAAAUCAGCAUUCUAGUUUGUACAUUUUAGCACAGAAAUGUUUACAACCUUCAGCACAAUUGCUUUUGUAAUUUACUGACUUGGCAUUUUGAGGCGUUUUUAACAAAUUAUGAGAAAUAACACCUUCAGAAAGCAUGUGACUACUUUGAUGCAACUAUUUACAAUGUAUUCAUAAGAAGUCAUUAACCUGUAGAGUUCUUAGACAUGUGGAACCUUUAACAAUUAUACUAAAGAGUACAUACAAAAUACAGAGCUAUGUAAUAAUAACUAAUUUUAAAUCCUGACAAAUUAGAAGUUAAGCCUACUAUCUGUAAAAAUAUGUCCUGAUUCAUUUUUUUAAGUAUAUACCUGAGCCUUUAAAAAGUAUAUGCCUUUACAAUUGAUUUCCAAUAAACAAUACUGAAUAACAAACUA